rnacentral:tRNA from 1 species
UGGGGCGUGGUGCAGUGGUAGCACACCAGACUUUGGAUCUGUGGACCGAGGUUCGAAUCCUUGCGCCCCAGCAA